CUACCACCAUGUACAUCUUGCCCACUCUACUCGCUGCUUCUCUUUCUUCACCAGCAAAGUGCAAAUAAGAGUCCUGACUUUACAGAUGGGAAAACUGAGGACCAGAGAGGGAAAAGGAUCUGCUCAAAGUCAACAAACUUUGUAUUGCCUGUGCUAGCUGGAGAGCAAUGGAUCACUUAAAUGGCAGCUGUUAGCUCUCCUGCAGCUUAGCAUCUGGUUCUGACAGAUUAAGGAAGAUCAUGUUCCUGGGUCUGCUGGUGACUAGAGCUAAGAAUAGCCACCAAGCAAGAGGAUAGUGAGAUAUAAUUUGCACAACAUUGGCCAUCACCAUGGUAAUGACCAGCUAGGACUUAUUUUCCAGUUGACAGAGAUGGAAACAAAGUCCUGUCAUGAAGGGCAGGAGGCUACCAGUGGAUAAAGCAUGGCACCUGGAUUAUCAUGAAGAGCACUUUCCCACUGAUUAUGAUCACAGGGCUCACAAACCAUUAUGUAAAGAAAACUAAGUUCUGAUGAGUUGAACCCUUAUUCAGUUUCCAUCUAUUUAU
ensembl:lncRNA